rnacentral:rRNA from 1 species
AGUGAACGCCGGCGGUAGGCCUAACACAUGCAAGUCGAACGGCAGCACAGUAAGAGCUUGCUCUUACGGGUGGCGAGUGGCGGACGGGUGAGGAAUACAUCGGAAUCUACUUUUUCGUGGGGGAUAACGUAGGGAAACUUACGCUAAUACCGCAUACGACCUACGGGUGAAAGCAGGGGAUCUUCGGACCUUGCGCGAUUGAAUGAGCCGAUGUCGGAUUAGCUAGUUGGCGGGGUAAAGGCCCACCAAGGCGACGAUCCGUAGCUGGUCUGAGAGGAUGAUCAGCCACACUGGAACUGAGACACGGUCCAGACUCCUACGGGAGGCAGCAGUGGGGAAUAUUGGACAAUGGGCGCAAGCCUGGUCCAGCCAUACCGCGUGGGUGAAGAAGGCCUUCGGGUUGUAAAGCCCUUUUGUUGGGAAAGAAAAGCAGCAGGUUAAUACCCCGCUGUUCUGACGGUACCCAAAGAAUAAGCACCGGCUAACUUCGUG